rnacentral:rRNA from 2 species
UGGGGAAUCUUCCGCAAUGGACGAAAGUCUGACGGAGCAACGCCGCGUGAGUGAAGAAGGUCUUCGGAUUGUAAAGCUCUGUUAUACGGGACGAAAAAGACGGAUGCCAACAGUAUCCGUCCGUGACGGUACCGUAAGAGAAAGCCACGGCUAACUACGUGCCAGCAGCCGCGGUAAUACGUAGGUGGCAAGCGUUGUCCGGAAUUAUUGGGCGUAAAGGGCGCGCAGGCGGUUCGGUAAGUCUGUCUUAAAAGUGCGGGGCUUAACCCCGUGAGGGGACGGAAACUGUCGAACUUGAGUGUCGGAGAGGAAAGCGGAAUUCCUAGUGUAGCGGUGAAAUGCGUAGAUAUUAGGAGGAACACCGGUGGCGAAAGCGGCUUUCUGGACGACAACUGACGCUGAGGCGCGAAAGCGUGGGGAGCAAACAGG